GACGAACGCUGGCGGCGUGCCUAAUACAUGCAAGUCGAACGCAGUGGGGACUGGUGAGUAACACGUGGGUAACCUCCCAUCAGAGGGGAUAACACUUGGAAACAGGUGCUAAACCGAUACUGAUGGAUGGACCCGCGGUGCAUUAGCUAGUUGGUGGGGUAAUGGCUCACCUAGGCGACGAGCCCUAGCUGGUCUGAGAGGAUGACCAGCCACACUGGAACUGAGACACGGUCCAGACUCCUACGGGAGGCAGCAGUGGGGAAUUUUGGACAAUGGGCGCAAGCCUGAUCCAGCCAUGCCGCGUGUCUGAAGAAGGCCUUCGGGUUGUAAAGGACUUUUGUCAGGGAAGCGGUACCUGAAGAAUAAGCACCGGCUAACUACGUGCCAGCAGCCGCGGUAAUUC
rnacentral:rRNA from 1 species